rnacentral:rRNA from 1 species
GGACUCGCAUCCCAUUAGCUAGUUGGUGAGGUAACGGCCCACCAAGGCAACGAUGGGUAGCCGACCUGAGAGGGUGAUCGGCCACACUGGAACUGAGACACGGUCCAGACUCCUACGGGAGGCAGCAGUGGGGAAUAUUGGGCAAUGGGCGCAAGCCUGACCCAGCAACGCCGCGUGAGGGAAGAAUGUCUUCGGAUUGUAAACCUCUGUCCUUGGGGACGUGACGGUACCCAAGGGAGGAAGCUCGGCUAACUACGUGCCAGCAGCCGCGGUAAUACGUAGGGUGCAAGCGUUGUCCGGAAUUAUUGGGCGUAAAGGGUGCGUAGGCGGCGCUGCAAGUCAGAUGUGAAAUCCCCGGGCUUAACUCGGGAGUUGCAUUUGAAACUGCAGUGCUUGAGUGAAGAAGAGGCAAGUGGAAUUCCUAGUGUAGCGGUGGAAUGCGUAGAU